UUUAUGGAGAGUUUGAUCCUGGCUCAGGAUGAACGCUGGCGGCGUGCCUAAUACAUGCAAGUCGAGCGAACGGACGAGAAGCUUGCUUCUCUGAUGUUAGCGGCGGACGGGUGAGUAACACGUGGAUAACCUACCUAUAAGACUGGGAUAACUUCGGGAAACCGGAGCUAAUACCGGAUAAUAUUUUGAACCGCAUGGUUCAAAAGUGAAAGACGGUCUUGCUGUCACUUAUAGAUGGAUCCGCGCUGCAUUAGCUAGUUGGUAAGGUAACGGCUUACCAAGGCAACGAUGCAUAGCCGACCUGAGAGGGUGAUCGGCCACACUGGAACUGAGACACGGUCCAGACUCCUACGGGAGGCAGCAGUAGGGAAUCUUCCGCAAUGGGCGAAAGCCUGACGGAGCAACGCCGCGUGAGUGAUGAAGGUCUUCGGAUCGUAAAACUCUGUUAUUAGGGAAGAACAUAUGUGUAAGUAACUGUGCACAUCUUGACGGUACCUAAUCAGAAAGCCACGGCUAACUACGUGCCAGCAGCCGCGGUAAUACGUAGGUGGCAAGCGUUAUCCGGAAUUAUUGGGCGUAAAGCGCGCGUAGGCGGUUUUUUAAGUCUGAUGUGAAAGCCCACGGCUCAACCGUGGAGGGUCAUUGGAAACUGGAAAACUUGAGUGCAGAAGAGGAAAGUGGAAUUCCAUGUGUAGCGGUGAAAUGCGCAGAGAUAUGGAGGAACACCAGUGGCGAAGGCGACUUUCUGGUCUGUAACUGACGCUGAUGUGCGAAAGCGUGGGGAUCAAACAGGAUUAGAUACCCUGGUAGUCCACGCCGUAAACGAUGAGUGCUAAGUGUUAGGGGGUUUCCGCCCCUUAGUGCUGCAGCUAACGCAUUAAGCACUCCGCCUGGGGAGUACGACCGCAAGGUUGAAACUCAAAGGAAUUGACGGGGACCCGCACAAGCGGUGGAGCAUGUGGUUUAAUUCGAAGCAACGCGAAG
rnacentral:rRNA from 1 species